rnacentral:rRNA from 1 species
GACGAACGCUGGCGGCGUGCUUAACACAUGCAAGUCGAGCGGUAAGGCCCUUUCGGGGGUACACGAGCGGCGAACGGGUGAGUAACACGUGGGUGACCUGCCCUCAGCUCUGGGAUAAGCCUGGGAAACCGGGUCUAAUACUGGAUAUGACUCCAUGACGCAUGUUGUGGGGUGGAAAGCCUUGUGCGGCUGAGGAUGGGCCCGCGGCCUAUCAGCUUGUUGGUGGGGUGANGGCCUACCAAGGCGACGACGGGUAGCCGGCCUGAGAGGGCGACCGGCCACACUGGGACUGAGACACGGCCCAGACUCUACGGGAGGCAGCAGUGGGGAAUCUUGCGCAAUGGGCGAAAGCCUGACGCAGCGACGCCGCGUGAGGGAU